rnacentral:rRNA from 1 species
UACAGAGGUCUCAAGCGUUGUUCGGAUUCAUUGGGCGUAAAGGGUGCGUAGGUGGCGCCGUAAGUCAGGGGUGAAAUUUCGGAGCUUAACUCCGAAACUGCAUUUGAUACUGCGGUGCUUGAGGACUGGAGAGGAGACUGGAAUUCACGGUGUAGCAGUGAAAUGCGUAGAGAUCGUGAGGAAGACCAGUGGCGAAGGCGGGUCUCUGGACAGUUCCUGACACUGAGGCACGAAGGCCAGGGGAGCGAACGGG